rnacentral:rRNA from 1 species
AGAGUUUGAUCCUGGCUCAGGACGAACGCUGGCGGCGCGCUUAACACAUGCAAGUCGAGCGAGAACCAGACCUUCGGGUCUGGGGACAGCGGCGAACGGGUGAGUAACACGUGGGUAAUCAACCCUUGACACUGGGAUAGCCCGGGGAAACCCGGAUUAAUACCGGAUGGCCCUUUGGAUCCUCGGAUCUGAAGGAAAAGGUAGCUUCGGCCUCCGGUCAAGGACGAGCCCGCGGCGGAUUAGCUUGUUGGUGAGGUAACGGCCCACCAAGGCGACGAUCCGUAGCUGGUCUGAGAGGACGAUCAGCCACACUGGGACUGAGACACGGCCCAGACUCCUACGGGAGGCAGCAGUGGGGAAUCUUGCGCUAAUGCGGGAAACCGUGACGCAGCGACGCCGCGUGAGGGAAGAAGGCCUUCGGGUUGUAAACCUCUUUCAGGAGGGACGAAGCCACUCGGGUUAAUAGCCCAGAGGGUGACG